AUUGAACGCUGGCGGCAGGCCUAACACAUGCAAGUCGAGCGAGCGGCGGACGGGUGAGUAAUGUCUGGGAAACUGCCUGAGGGAGGGGGAUAACUACUGGAGACGGUAGCUCAUACCGCAUACCAUCAGAUGUGCCCAGGUGGGAUUAGCUAGUAGGGGAGGUAACGGCCCACCUAGGCGACGAUCCCUAGCUGGUCUGAGAGGAUGACCAGCCACACUGGAACUGAGACACGGUCCAGACUCCUACGGGAGGCAGCAGUGGGGAAUAUUGCACAAUGGGCGAAAGCCUGAUGCAGCCAGGCCGCGUGUGUGAAGAAGGCCUUCGGGUUGUAAAGCACUUGCAGCGGGGAGGCGUUACCCGCAGAAGAAGCACCGGCUAACUCCGUGCCAGCCGCCGCGGUAAUUC
rnacentral:rRNA from 1 species